UGGGGAAUAUUGGACAAUGGGGGAAACCCUGAUCCAGCCAUGCCGCGUGAAUGAUGAAGGCCUUCGGGUUGUAAAGUUCUUUUGACGGGGAAGAUGAUGACUGUACCCGUAGAAUAAGCACCGGCUAACUUCGUGCCAGCAGCCGCGGUAAUACGAAGGGUGCUAGCGUUGUUCGGAAUUACUGGGCGUAAAGGGCGCGUAGGCGGCUUAACAAGUUGGAUGUGAAAGCCCAGGGCUCAACCCUGGAAUUGCAUUCAAGACUGUUUUGCUUGAAUUCGGUAGAGGUUGGUAGAAUUCCCAGUGUAGAGGUGAAAUUCGUAGAGAUUGGGAAGAAUACCCGUGGCGAAGGCGACCAACUGGACCGACAUUGACGCUGAGGCGCGAAAGCGUGGGGAUCAAACAGGAUUAGAUACCCCCGUAGUCC
rnacentral:rRNA from 1 species